ACUACGGGCUACUCUGUCGCGGUUCGACCCUGUGGUCGAAAUGAGGAAAGUCCGGACAACGCAGAGUACCACACCAGCUAACGGCUGGGCUCCCUUCGGGGAGACAGAAAGUGCAACAGAAAAUACACCGCCUUAACAGGUAAGGGUGAAAUCGUGCGGUAAGAGCGCACGGCCGGGCUGGCAACAGUUCCGGUUGGUAAACCUUGUGGGUUGAAAUGCCACGUACAUCCGGAUCAUCCCUUUGGGGAAGUCAGGCUAACUCGGCCUGUUUUUCGAAAGAAAAGUCCGGAGGGGUAGGCAGAUGGAUCCCCGGCGCGAGCCCGGGACUAGAUAAAUGACAGAGAUGCUGCUUCGCAGUAUUACAGAAUCCGGCUUAUUGGCCCGUAGUAGUU
rnacentral:RNase_P_RNA from 1 species